CGUAAAGCGCAUGCAGGUGGUUUGUUAAGUCAGAUGUGAAAGACCCCGGGCUCAACCUGGGAAUUGCAUUUGAAACUAGGCAAACUAGAGUACUGUAGAGGGGGGUAGGAAUUUCAGGUGUAGCGGUGAAAUGCGUAGAGAUCUGAAGGAAUACCGGUGGCGAAGGCGGCCCCCUCGGACAGAUACUGACACUCAGAUGCGAAAGCGUGGGGAGCAAACAGGAUUAGAUACCCUGGUAG
rnacentral:rRNA from 1 species